AGAGUGAUGGCACACCUGGGUUUUUUCUUUAGGAAAUGCUACUGGAAAGCAGUCAGCUUCAAAUAAACCCAGUGAAUUGAAAGAAUACAUUCUGAUUUUGUACAGGUCCUGGGUUUUGGAUGGGAAAGAAAAUAAAUGAGUACUUCAGCUCCAUUAAAUCCUUAUAGAAGAGACUGUAAAGGGUGCCAACCUUCAAGUAAACACCUUGUUUGACCUGAGACCUUGGAAAAAGCUUCAAAAAUUGAGUGAUUGCACAGAAAUAGUGUAAAUUGCACUCCUGACUUCUUUCCCAAAAUUUGGAAGAAAAACUGAAGUGAUUUGUCCAAGAAUAAUGGUCCCACUAACUUUCCAGAGUGUGGAUGUUAGACUUAGAGUCAUAUGUCCUUUUCAACAAGGAAACAAGGGACCUUUACCAUUGUGAUUCUGGGAGGAUGCAUUAUUUCUGAUUUUCAGCAGAAACUUACAGGAGCUCCAUAAAGAGAAGAAACCAGCAUGUCUAGGACUCCUCUGAUGCAGCAGUUUCUUAGACUAGUCAUUGUUAUGAGCCACACCCGUUACCUGCUCCCACACCUGCAGGAAAGCUAAUAUUAAACAUUUCAUAGGAGUCUACAGGAUGUCAUUUGUAAUAACAACUGGCACCUGGAAACACUGAAGAGGAUUCGGCUGACAGAAGGAUAACACCAGGUCAUUCAGACAUAAUGUGGAAUUGCAAAUGAAUUAAAAAGAACAAGCUGUAAAGUAAGAAAGAAAAUGUACCAAAAGUCCCGAGCAGACUUUAGAAAGAGAAGGAAGAAACCAGCAAUUUCAACAUUAUGCUGCUUGGGCACAGCUAUCGUGUUCCUUUCAGAAAAAAAAAAAUGGAAAAAUUAUGCUCCCUGUCACCAUUUCCUCAUUUCCUCCCCUGACUGAAGGCAACUGCCUGAAGACUCGAGAGAAAGAGUGGAAAGGCAUAUGAUGCAAGCCCAUAUUUGGGGAAAAUUGAUGCUCUCACUGGGCUCCCCUCUGAACUGGAGUGGUGAAGCACUGCUGCAACACAGAGAGUAAAAGCCCCCCAGUGACAGAGCACCAGCCAGCUGCUCUUUUGAAGU